rnacentral:rRNA from 1 species
UACGGGGGGGCAAGCGUUGUUCGGAAUUACUGGGCGUAAAGGGCUGGUAGGCGGCCAACUAAGUCGGAUGUGAAAUCCCCAGGCUUAACCUGGGAACUGCAUCCGAUACUGGUCGGCUUGAAUCCGGGAGAGGGAUGCAGAAUUCCAGGUGUAGCGGUGAAAUGCGUAGAUAUCUGGAGGAAUACCGGUGGCGAAGGCGGCAUCCUGGACCGGCAUUGACGCUGAGACACGAAAGCGUGGGUAGCAAACAGG